CCUACGGGAGGCAGCAGUGAGGAAUAUUGGUCAAUGGACGAGAGUCUGAACCAGCCAAGUAGCGUGAAGGAUGACUGCCCCAUGGGUUGUAAACUUCUCUUAUAUGGGAAUAAAAUGUUCCACGUGUGGGAUUUUGUAUGUACCAUAUGAAUAAGGAUCGGCUAACUCCGUGCCAGCAGCCGCGGUAAUACGGAGGAUCCGAGCGUUAUCCGGAUUUAUUGGGUUUAAAGGGAGCGUAGGUGGAUUGUUAAGUCAGUUGUGAAAGUUUGCGGCUCAACCGUAAAAUUGCAGUUGAAACUGGCAGUCUUGAGUACAGUAGAGGUGGGCGGAAUUCGUGGUGUAGCGGUGAAAUGCUGAGAUAUCACGAAGAAAUCCGAUUGCGAAGGCAGUUCACUGGACUGCAACUGACACUGAGGCUCGAAAGUGUGGGUAUCAAACAGGAUUAGAUACCCAAGUAGUC
rnacentral:rRNA from 1 species